rnacentral:rRNA from 1 species
UACGAAGGGGGCUAGCGUUGCUCGGAAUUACUGGGCGUAAAGCGCACGUAGGCGGCUUUCUAAGUCGGGGGUGAAAUCCUGGAGCUUAACUCCAGAACUGCCUUCGAUACUGGAGAGCUCGAGUCCGGGAGAGGUGAGUGGAACUGCGAGUGUAGAGGUGAAAUUCGUAGAUAUUCGCAAGAACACCAGUGGCGAAGGCGGCCAACUGGUCCGGUACUGACGCUGAGGUGCGAAAGCGUGGGGAGCAAACAGG